GUGAGGAAUAUUGCGCAAUGGAGGCAACUCUGACGCAGCCAUGCCGCGUGCAGGAAGAAGGCGCUACGCGUUGUAAACUGCUUUUAACCGGGAAGAAACCCCAGGACGUGUCCUGGGUUGACGGUACCGGAGGAAUAAGCACCGGCUAACUUCGUGCCAGCAGCCGCGGUAAUACGAAGGGUGCAAGCGUUAUCCGGGUUCAUUGGGUUUAAAGGGUGCGUAGGCGGAGCGUUAAGUCAGUGGUGAAAUCCUGCAGCUUAACUGUAGACUUGCCAUUGAUACUGGCGCUCUUGAGUGCGCUUGAAGUGGGCGGAAUGUGCCGUGUAGCGGUGAAAUGCUUAGAUAUGGCACAGAACACCAAUUGCGAAGGCAGCUCACUGAGGCGAUACUGACGCUGAGGCACGAAAGCGUGGGGAUCGAACAGGAUUAGAAACCCGAGUAGUCC
rnacentral:rRNA from 1 species